GACGAACGCUGGCGGCGUGCCUAAUACAUGCAAGUCGAACGCAGUGGGGACGGGUGAGUAACACGUGGGUAACCUCCCAUCAGAGGGGAUAACACUUGGAAACAGGUGCUAAACCGAUACUGAUGGAUGGACCCGCGGUGCAUUAGCCUGUUGGUGAGGUAACGGCUCACCAAGGCCACGAUGCAUAGCGGGCUUGAGAGGAUGAUGGGCCACACUGGGACUGAGACACGGCCCAGACUCCUACGGGAGGCAGCAGUGGGGAAUCUUCGAAAAUGGACGAAAGUCUGAGCGAGCAACGCCGCGUGAGUGAAGAAGGUUUUCGGAUCGUAAGACUCUGUUGUCAGGGAGGCGGUAUCGAACCAGAAAGCCACGGCUAACUACGUGCCAGCAGCCGCGGUAAUUC
rnacentral:rRNA from 1 species